rnacentral:lncRNA from 1 species
UUGCAGAAAUUCCUUUUCUGUCCUAUUUUCGUUUGUUUUCUUUCUUCUUUCGGAAUUUUUGCUCUUUCAAGUAUAAGGUAGAGCUUUUGAAUUGCAAAAUUUAUUCUUAACUAUACUUUUCAGAGGGCCAAGAGUAAAUAGAGAAGACUGCUUGUGGGUGUAGAAGAAGAGGGAAAGCUAAGAUUUUUUGUUAUCCAAAGGGGAGAGUCGUUCAUCUCUAUUGAAGAUGGCAGAGAGCAGCGCCGUCUCUGUUUUGAAAGGAGGGGUCUCUUCUUCUAGCUCUUUUUUUC